AAUUACUCUGAAAAGAACAAUAUACAUUAGUAUAUUCGUAGUUACAAAUUUGCUCUAAAGGAGGAGCAGAAACAAGGAAUAUUUUACAACAAUUCCAACCAAAACAACACACCAAGAAAAAGGGGCAAGCAGAAGCAAUCCAAAGCUACUGAGGACUAACAGUCAAAUCAAACUAGCCAAACUUUCUGCACUAAUUUUGUGCUGAAUUUGAAGGACUCUUUCCUAGCUUAGAUAAUCCUAGUUCUCCAGGUUUUGGACUCUUUGACCCUCUUCCAAUGGCCUUAGGACUUUUCUCCCCUUUUAGUUCACUUACACGAGGACUAUAGGUGUAUGAGAGACGAGGGCUUUGAUGGCUUUUAGGAUCAUUUGCAGGGGUUCCAGUGGUGCUUGUGAUUUUGGGACUGCUCAUAUGCCUGAACUCUCCACGACUGCGGGUAAUGACUUCGUCUAGUAUCUCUCCAUCCGCUGCCUGAGUAGCCCCAGCACCCAGCCCAGACUCUGUAGCAAGAUUGUAUGGUAGAGCCGGUGCCUCUUCAUAUUCUGCUGCAUCCAGGUCCUGAAGGUGUGCUCCUUUGAAAAACUUAGGAAGGACGUAUUGUCUUACUGGAACCAAAAGCAUGAUCAUCAAAGGAAACAUGACACCAGCAAUUGGAAUCCAGGUGAGACCAAAACAUAUUAGCAAAUAAGUCGUUUGGAAAAUGGUAAAUGUUGCAAUUGUCUUGAAAGGCACUGUUUCUACAAAAGUGGCAUGGUACUCCUCAAGGACCCUAUAUCGUCUGCUUGGCGCAGUGAAAAGCAGCAAUAUCCUUUCCCAGAAUUGGUUACCAGGCAAACUUUCAAUGGCCAUGAAGGCAAAGUAACCCCAUAGGACUGAGGUUGGAAUCUUUUUGAGGAAAGGCAUGGCUGCAACACAUCCUCCAACCAUUGUGGCUUGAAGCAAGUUGCUGAGACGCUGUUCUUUCACUUCAACAGGCAAUAGAUCAUCAAUCUCCUUCUCGAUGUCAAAUACUGUCUCAUCGACUGGCGCGUCAAUGUGGCCAGUACAAGAAGCUGCCUGGAUGGUUGAUUCUUUGAAUUCUUUAAGACCCUGCAUUAGUCUCAAAGCUACAUUACUUGACUUCAUAUGAACUAAAAAUCAUAAAAUUUUCACUAGAUACGAUGCAGAUCAGGCAGCUAGAAUUGUGUGAAGCUUGUGAUUAUGUUGCUUUCAGGAGAAAAAUAAGAGCUACAACUAAAUACAAAAAAAAAGUAAGCAAAAGCAGAAUAAGUUGCGAUCAUACUUGGGACGGUUGUUGGUACAUCAAAGGGGUCUGCAUUUGUUGAUAAGCUUCUUGCAUAUUUCCAUAUAAUUGUCCCAGGCUGGCGUUCUUCCUCAUACUUCGGCGAGCAGUUGCAACAAGUCUAUUACGAAGCAACUGAUACUUAAGAGUGGCCAAACUCUUUGUAUGCAUGGGCGAUUGUGGGAUGACUCCAUUUGAUGGUGGAAUUCCAACAAGACCACACAUUAAAGUCAAGAACCCCAGAAGAAGUAAGUCAUAGUGAUAAGAAGGUGGCUUUCGCAAAUUGAACUCUUUCUGCUGAGCAAGUUGAGACGCUACACUAUGGUCAAAGUAGUAAAGCACGGCAAUCAUCGUUGCAGGAAUGAAAGCUCCAAUUAUGUAAGAAAUGGGAACAUUUAGCAUGUCCUUAAUGACAGUCCAAUUUUCAUAGGCACCAGGGGACCACGGAUUUGGGCUGAAAAGGCGGCGAGGGAUCCCUUUCGGAACACUUCCGGCUGGGAUGUAGGAAACAGCUGUCCACACUAGGACCAUCAGGGGCACACCAUAGUCUGCUAUGAAGCUUCUAAGGCAACCGGUCCCAUAGCGCCACGACCUUGCCUUUCUGCUUCUUAAUGCAGUGAGCAGGAGACCGAAAGAAAGAACCAAAGCAAACAUCCCAUUUGCAAACCUCCAUGAAGGUAUAAACUCUACCGCUUUUGGAUCUUCCCUUUGGGGAAUUCUAAAUUCAUAGACAAGUCCUUUAAUAGCCUGUUGCAUGAAAAGCAUCGCAAUAAGCAGACCAAAUAACUCCCCUGCUACACGGGUAAACCUGUUGAUAAUGGAGCAAGCUCCCAGGAUAGCCAGUAAGAACAGCAGGAAUGCAGUCCAAACACAAACCCAUCCUGUCCAUGCUAGAAACAAAUUCCGGCCCAAAUCAGGUCUCUCUUUUGCAAAGUUAAACAUGAAUGUGUACAUAAUGACAGUAGGCUCUGCAACUCCUAAUAUCAAGAGAGGUUGACCUCCAAUGAUCGAGUGUAUGAUCCCACAUACUGCAGUAGAUGCUAGGGUUUGAACUGCUGUUAAAACUCCAUCAGUAUUUCUCUCCAGCUGUUCUCCAAAUGAAAUGACUGGAAUCGCUGAAGCAAAGAAUAUGUAUGUGGUGGGAGCCAAAAUCCUGAAACCUGCUCUAAAUCCUCCACUCCAGUCUUGCUUGUAACACAACAAUCUCCCCUUAAGGUCAUUCUUGAUUCCACGGAAAGGGACGAAGGUCUCCUCCAUUAUUAAUUUGUCGGAGUGAGAGUUCAGAGCGAAAAAAAUAAAUGGAACUUCUUUCCUUUUCUGAAGUCUGUAUAAGGGUAGGACUCAAACACAGAGAAAAGUGAAGAUUAAAUAUCACUCUACGGAUAAUGUGGCGCUUUAAGGGUUAGACAUGGCCAGAUAUGCCAUUGAGAAACAGCUGAUCGGUGAUAAAAAUUACAUGACUUGAAUUAAACGGUCAAACAGGUCAACGUUGGAGUGAGACCAAAAUUCAAGAUCAAACCGCAGUGCAAGUUAAUCCAGGAUUAACAAACAGAUGCCAAGAAAAGAAGUUUAGCUGAGGGAAAAAGCUGGUGGGCUGGUCACCUCAAACAUAUGCAGGAGCAUCCGAGCCUUUUGAUAUGCGUAUUGGGCGCAAUGUGAUGGCGCUUGCUAGGGAGGAAGGCUCCAAAUAUAUAAUAAUAAGAGCUUCUUCUGGCUGAGGAAGGUUGAUUUGGUUCAGACAGCAAGUCAGCUAUGCGGGCCAAUAGUGAAGGAAGAGAGCGAAAUAAUUC
rnacentral:misc_RNA from 1 species